GUUGAGGACAAGUGACCGCUUCAAUUUCUAUCUAAUUGUUUACUCUGCUUUUCUCUUCGCCUGUACUCUGUUUUUUCCGCUGGUAGUAAAUAUCAUCGAAUACCUUUGUUUCUUUGUUCGAUCUCUGACCCUCCGGCCGAAUUACUGAUGCCUAUCGAUAAAAAAGCCACGGCGCCAAGCUCUCUUCCAGAAGAGGAAGCGACAUUACUCAGCAGAAAGAGCUUCUAAAAUCAAGCUCAGGAGAUAUGAUGUGUAUGCAAAUCAGUCAGCAGAUAAAAAAGAAAUGCUUUUAGCAUAAUGACGAUCAAAAAAUAUUGAGUCGACAAGCCAAGGUCUCUUGGUUGAACAUACUGAAGUAGCAUCAUCUUCUGAAGCUGCUGCUGAGUUACCUAGACAGAGAAUACUAACAAUAGGGGAAUCAUGUUGCCUUGGUGAAAAAGCCGAUAAAUCUUGCGCGGACGGCACAACAGUUUGUUCUAACAAACGGAAGAAUAUAAUUGGCUCCCUUUCUGUAUUCGAAUAUGGUUAGUAACUAUUAAAAUGCAGUUUCAAUUUUAGUUCACUUGAAAUAUUUCGUAUAUCAGUUAUAAUGAUUUGCAUAUUACGUUCCACAUCAAAUCCACUCGGUGAACGGCGUGAUCCCGAGGCAUCCGUUGUCAUAAAAAGAGGUUUGUCUUGGUACUCUUUUAACAAUAUUAGCCAUAAAUCUUUUCUCAAUACUUGUAUGAUAUCCAACAACUUAUAUACACAGGUUGUAGAUCAAAGAUAAUAGGUUGUUGGAAUUUCAAACAGUUGCCCAGUAACGCAACCAUUUUGAAAACUGUACCAAACUGUAAAUAUUGUGGAGCUAAAAGGUUUGAAUAUGAAUCAGCAGGAUUUUGUUGUA